rnacentral:lncRNA from 1 species
GGUUUAGGGUUUAGAUUUUAGGGUUUAGGGUUUAGGGUUUAGGGUUUAAAGUUUAGGGUUUAGGGUUUAGAGUUUAUGGUUUAGGGUUUAUGGUUUAGGGUUUAGGGUUUAGAGUUUAGGGUUUAGGGUUUAGGGUUUAGGGUUUAGAGUUGAGAAAUGAAGUUUUGGGGAUAAGAUUUCAAAUUUUGAAAAAUAAAAAAAUUAAAAUUUUCAAAGGAUAAACUUAGAAAGAUGCUAUUUUGGUCAUUUUAGUUUUUGAGUGUUAUU